AACGCACAUUGCGCCCGCUAGUAUUCUGGCGGGCAUGCCUGUCCGAGCGUCAUUUCAACCCAUCAAGCUUAGCGCUUGUGUUGGAGCCCUGCGGCCGCUGCAGCCUCCUAAAAUCAGUGGCGGGCUCGCUAUCACGCUGAGUGCAGUAGUAUUCUUCUCACUCCUGUGGUGUAGCGGGUGACCAGCCGUAAAACCCCCCCAUAUCUAAAGGUUGACCUCGGAUCAGGUAGGAAUACCCGCUGAACUUAA
rnacentral:misc_RNA from 1 species